rnacentral:rRNA from 1 species
GAUGAACGCUGGCGGCGUGCUUAACACAUGCAAGUCGAACGAAGCACUUAUGGUUGAGAUUUCGGUUGAUUUUAUAAGUGACUUAGUGGCGGACGGGUGAGUAACGCGUGGGUAACCUGCCUCGUACAGGGGGAUAACAGUUAGAAAUGACUGCUAAUACCGCAUAACCCGCUAAGGUCGCAUGACCUGGACGGAAAAGAUUUAUCGGUACGAGAUGGACCCGCGUCUGAUUAGCUAGUUGGUGAGGUAACGGCCCACCAAGGCGACGAUCAGUAGCCGGCCUGAGAGGGUGAACGGCCACAUUGGGACUGAGACACGGCCCAAACUCCUACGGGAGGCAGCAGUGGGGAAUAUUGCACAAUGGGGGAAACCCUGAUGCAGCGACGCCGCGUGAGUGAAGAAGUAUUUCGGUAUGUAAAGCUCUAUCAGCAGGGAAGAAAAUGACGGUACCUGACUAAGAAGCACCGGCUAAAUACGUGCCAGCCGCCGCCGUAAGAC